rnacentral:rRNA from 1 species
GACGAACGCUGGCGGCGUGCCUAAUACAUGCAAGUAGAACGCUGAAGGAGGAGCUUGCUUCUUCGGAUGAGUUGCGAACGGGUGAGUAACGCGUAGGUAACCUGCCUGGUAGCGGGGGAUAACUAUUGGAAACGAUAGCUAAUACCGCAUAACAGUAGAUGUUGCAUGACAUUUGCUUAAAAGGUGCAAUUGCAUCACUACCAGAUGGACCUGCGUUGUAUUAGCUAGUUGGUGAGGUAACGGCUCACCAAGGCAACGAUACAUAGCCGACCUGAGAGGGUGAUCGGCCACACUGGGACUGAGACACGGCCCAGACUCCUACGGGAGGCAGCAGUAGGGAAUCUUCGGCAAUGGACGGAAGUCUGACCGAGCAACGCCGCGUGAGUGAAGAAGGUUUUCGGAUCGUAAAGCUCUGUUGUAAGAGAAGAACGAGUGUGAGAGUGGAAAGUUCACACUGUGACGGUAUCUUACCAGAAAGGGACGGCUAACUACGUGCCAGCAGCCGCGGUAAUACGUAGGUCCCGAGCGUUGUCCGGAUUUAUUGGGCGUAAAGCGAGCGCAGGCGGUUAGAUAAGUCUGAAGUUAAAGGCUGUGGCUUAACCAUAGUACGCUUUGGAAACUGUUUAACUUGAGUGCAAGAGGGGAGAGUGGAAUUCCAUGUGUAGCGGUGAAAUGCGUAGAUAUAUGGAGGAACACCGGUGGCGAAAGCGGCUCUCUGGCUUGUAACUGACGCUGAGGCUCGAAAGCGUGGGGAGCAAACAGG